ACAAAGGCGCGGAAGGGAAGCAGUAGCGCGCCGAACCCGGUCAGCGAGCCGGGGCUCGAGGUGGAAGCCCGGUCCGGUACGGUGCGCGAACUCGUCCCAGAGCUGCGUUCGCGAACCUGGUCGAGUAGCGAGCGUCGGGUUGCGCCCGUUAUCGCGCAGAGAGUGGGCGCCGCUUCUUCGGAGGCGGCGGCCAAGUAGGGUGGUACCACGGGAGCGGCCCGUCCCUUCG
rnacentral:ncRNA from 1 species